rnacentral:rRNA from 1 species
UACGGGGGGGGGCAAGCGUUGUUCGGAUUUACUGGGCGUAAAGGGCGCGUAGGCGGCCACCGCAAGUCGACUGUGAAAUCUCCGGGCUUAACCCGGAAAGGUCAGCCGAUACUGCGGGGCUAGAGUGCAGAAGGGGCAACUGGAAUUCUCGGUGUAGCGGUGAAAUGCGUAGAUAUCGAGAGGAACACCUGCGGCGAAGGCGGGUUGCUGGGCUGACACUGACGCUGAGGCGCGAAAGCUAGGGGGAGCGAACGGG